rnacentral:rRNA from 1 species
GUGGGGAAUUUUGGACAAUGGGCGCAAGCCUGAUCCAGCAAUGCCGCGUGCAGGAAGAAGGCCUUCGGGUUGUAAACUGCUUUUGUACGGAACGAAAAGGCUCUGGUUAAUACCUGGGGCUCAUGACGGUACCGUAAGAAUAAGCACCGGCUAACUACGUGCCAGCAGCCGCGGUAAUACGUAGGGUGCAAGCGUUAAUCGGAAUUACUGGGCGUAAAGCGUGCGCAGGCGGUUUUGUAAGACAGGCGUGAAAUCCCCGGGCUCAACCUGGGAAUGGCGCUUGUGACUGCAAGGCUGGAGUGCGGCAGAGGGGGAUGGAAUUCCGCGUGUAGCAGUGAAAUGCGUAGAUAUGCGGAGGAACACCGAUGGCGAAGGCAAUCCCCUGGGCCUGCACUGACGCUCAUGCACGAAAGCGUGGGGAGCAAACAGGAUUAGAAACCCGAGUAGUCC